rnacentral:lncRNA from 1 species
UGGGAAGCCACCGGUGUCUGCCCAAAGCCCACAGCAGAGACUCAGCCCGGAGCUGUUUCUGCUCAGCCCAGUCACGUUUACUUGACAUUUUUGGAACUGUCCGCCUUGUGUAGAUGCAAUACUGACAGAGAGAGCAGCCUCUUUCACAGCUACCCAACUUAAAAUACAGCACUUACCCCUGCUUCCCUAUGGACUGCCAUUUUAAGCUAAUUAUAUACUGGGAGCUUUAUUUCCUGAAAAUGUACAUUGCCUUACUGAGAGCACCUGUGUACACCUGGAAUGAGACAGUAGCUAAUGAUUUAUGUGGGACAGUAACAACGGCUGCUUUUGCUGGAACCAUGCCAUAACUUAGUGUCUGCUGCUCUGCCCUGCUGGGUCAAGACAACACAUCCGUCAC